AGAGUUUGAUCCUGGCUCAGGACGAACGCUGGCGGCGUGCCUAACACAUGCAAGUCAAGCGAGUGAAUCUCCUUCGGGAGUGAAGCUAGCGGCGGACGGGUGAGUAACACGUGGGCAACCUGCCUCAUAGAGGGGAAUACCCUUCCGAAAGGAAGAUUAAUACCGCAUAAGAUUGUAGCUUCCCAUGAAGUAGCAAUUAAAGCGAGCAAUCCGCUAUGAGAUGGGCCCGCGGCGCAUUAUCUAGUUGGUGAGGUAACGGCUCACCAAGGCGACGAUGCGUAGCCGACCUGAGAGGGUGAUCGGCCACAUUGGGACUGAGACACGGCCCACACUCCUACGGGAGGCAACAGUGGGGAAUAUUGCACAAUGGGGGAAACCCUGAUGCAGCAACGCCGCGUGAGUGAUGACGGCCUUCGGGUUGUAGAGCUCUGUCUUCAGGGACGAUAAUGACGGUACCUGAGGAGGAAGCCACGGCUAACUACGUGCCAGCAGCCGCGGUAAUACGUAGGUGGCGAGCGUUGUCCGGAUUUACUGGGCGUAAAGGGAGCGUAGGCGGACUUUUAAGUGACAUGUGAAAUACCCGGGCUCAACUUGGGUGCUGCAUUUCAAACUGGAAGUCUAGAGUGCAGGAGAGGAGAAAUGGAAUUCCUUAGUGUAGCGGUGACAUGGUAGAGAUUAGGAGGAACACCAGUGGCAAAAGCGGGCUGCUUGACUGUUACUGACACUGAAGGACGAAAGCGUGGGGAGCAAAAAGGAAUUAGAUACCCUGGUAAUCCCCGCCGUAAACCAAAAAAACUAGGUGUCGGGGCCGUAAAGGCUUUCCGUGCCCCCCAAACCCCAAAAAAAUACCCACCGGGGAGUACUUUCGCAGAAAUGAAAUCAAAAGGAAUGGACGGGAACCCCGCCAAACCCGUGGAGGCACGUGGUUUAAAUCUAA
rnacentral:rRNA from 1 species